rnacentral:rRNA from 1 species
AAUGAACGUUGGCGGCAUGGAUUAGGCAUGCAAGUCGAGCGAGAAGUCCCGACCCGAUCUUUCGGGUGAAGGUCGGGAUGGACAGCGGCGAAAGGGUGAGUAACGCGUAGUUACGUGCCCCAGGGUUGGGAAUAGCCUCGGGAAACUGAGGGUAAUGCCCAAUAAUAUCUCCGGAUCAAAGGUGAGAUUCCGCCCUGGGAGCGGACUGCGUCCUACUAGCUUGUUGGUGGGGUAAUGGCCUACCAAGGCUCCGAUGGGUAGCGGGCGUGAGAGCGUGGCCCGUCACACUGGGACUGAGACACUGCCCAGACACCUACGGGUGGCUGCAGUCGAGAAUCUUCGGCAAUGGACGAAAGUCUGACCGAGCGAUGCCGCGUGCGGGAUGAAGGCCCUCGGGUUGUAAACCGUGAAAGUGAGGAGGAAGGCCCUGUGAAGAGCAGGGUUUGACCAAGCCACAGUAAGGACGGGCUAAGUUCGUGCCAGCCGCCGCCGUAACAC